CACGCACAACACAACACAACACAACACAGGUUUAUGCAUUGUCAAUGCCACUAUAAGUAUGUUGUUGUUGUUACACGUUCUGUCCACUAGAGGGACUUCUAAAUUAGCCUGGCCUUGAAGGGGACCUACGUCAUGGCGCAUCACAGUUUCUGGCACACUGCUCUGUUUACUUU